GCUAACUACGUGCCAGCAGCCGCGGUAAUACGUAGGUGGCAAGCGUUGUCCGGAAUUACUGGGUGUAAAGGGAGCGCAGGCGGGACAGCAAGUUGGAUGUGAAAUACCGGGGCUCAACCCCGGGGCUGCAUCCAAAACUGUUGUUCUUGAGUGAAGUAGAGGUUGGCGGAAUUCCGAGUGUAGCGGUGAAAUGCGUAGAUAUUCGGAGGAACACCAGUGGCGAAGGCGGCCAACUGGGCUUUAACUGACGCUGAGGCUCGAAAGCAUGGGGAGCAAACCGGAUUAGAUACCCUGGUAGUCCAUGCUGUAAACGAUGAAUACUAGGUGUGGGGGGACUGACCCCUUCCGUGCCGGAGUUAACACAAUAAGUAUUCCACCUGGGGAGUACGACCGCAAGGUUGAAACUCAAAGGAAUUGACGGGGGCCCGCACAAGCAGUGGAGUAUGUGGUUUAAUUCGAAGCAACGCGAAGAACCUUACCAGGUCUUGACAUCCGACUAACGAAGUAGAGAUACAUUAGGUGCCCUUCGGGGAAAGUCGAGACAGGUGGUGCAUGGUUGUCGUCAGCUCGUGUCGUGAGAUGUUGGGUUAAGUCCCGCAACGAGCGCAACCCUUGUCAUUAGUUGCUACGCAAGAGCACUCUAAUGAGACCGCUAUCGACAAGAUGGAGGAAGGUGGGGACGACGUCAAAUCAUCAUGCCCUUUAUGACCUGGGCUACACACGUACUACAAUGGCCGUCAACAGAGGGAAGCAAAACCGCGAGGUAGAGCAAACCCCUAAAAACGGUCCCAGUUCAGAUUGUAGGCUGCAACUCGCCUAUAUGAAGUUGGAAUUGCUAGUAAUCGCGGAUCAGCAUGCCGCGGUGAAUACGUUCCCGGGCCUUGCACACACCGCCCG
rnacentral:rRNA from 1 species